ACCUGGUUGAUCCUGCCAGUAGCAUAUGCUUGUCUCAAAGAUUAAGCCAUGCAUGUCCAGUACUUGCCGCUCCGACGGCGACGAAACCGCAAAUGGCUCAUUAAAUCAGUCACGGUUCAUUGGAUCGUGACGCUACUGGAUAACUGUGGCAAUUCUAGAGCUAAUACAUGCAGCCGAGCUCCGACCCUCCGGGGACGAGCGCUUAUUAGAUUGUGACCGGCCCCUCCUCUCGGGGUGGGGAUCGGAAACGUGAACCGAAGCUGAGUAACUUUGGCAGAUCGCACGGGCCCGUCCCGGCGACGCAUCUUUCAAGUGUCUGCCCUAUCAACUGUCGACGGUAGGUCAUGCGCCUACCGUGGUCGCCACGGGUGACGGGGAAUCAGGGUUCGAUUCCGGAGAGGGAGCCUGAGAGACGGCUACCACAUCUAAGGAAGGCAGCAGGCACGCAAAUUACCCACUCCCGGCUCGGGGAGGUAGUGACGAAAAAUAACGAUACGGGACUCAUCGAGACCCCGUGAUCGGAAUG